AGCACGAAUUAAAACCUCUCAGCACUGCUGAGCACUGUGAACACCAACACAAUGCUGUUUCUCUGCAAGACGUGCCUGUUCAUGAGAUGUGUGCUUUUUUGCUGAAACAGGCACAGCAGCAACAUACCGCUGCUGUUCUUCCCAGAACAGUCAGCUGAUUCCCAGUGACUUUAAAGCUCACCUGUAAUUACACCGCAAUGCAAACCCAGACAUCUGCUGGGUUAUCUCCUUUUCAGAUGCACUGUAGCCAAUAGCUCUCUAAGGCUUUGUUCUGGGCUAUCUUAACAAUCUCUGAUAGAGGAACUUUUACUGUCCCUCUCCCUCUGAAGAUUAGGACUUUUCUACCACUCUUGGUGUUAGGUAAUAGGGUUGUCCGGGAAAGGGGAUUAAGCCUUGAUCUGCCCCUUGUUCUGAGCAAGUCGAGAAUUACUGUAUAAAUAGCACAGCCCAAUAAACAGUUGGCCCCGAGCCUCUUGUACCUACUUGGAACUGGGCAGAGUCCCAGCCAGCACUACCCUUGCCCCAAAACGUGCAUGCACUUCAGAUGUGGACUGGGAUAUGGCAAGAUUAUCAGCAGAUAAGGAGCUGCUAGGAGGAGAUGUUUAUCUCAGUGAAGAACAUGAUACAAAGCAGUCCUCGUGGCUGAAGAUAUCACUCUCCUGCACUUGCUCUGUAACCACCCCUCUAUGUCUUACAGGUGCCAUAGCUGGCCAUAGCCCUGCAGGGUUUCAUCAUCAAGAAGGUCUGCUUACAGUCAGGCAGUUUUCUUCUCCUUCACAAUGCUUCCUCACCUGGCGUAGACACAUAAAUAUAUUGCCAAUUCUUAUGAUUUUAUCACAACUGCCCCACUUUGGGUGGUUUUUUCUUUUUUCUUUUUUAAUUAAAAUCUCAGCUCCCAAAGGCAAGUCAUUAGUCAGGAAUCUCAGGUUCCAUUACGAAAAAAGAAAUGUUUCCAGACCUCAAAAAUGCUCAGAAAAAAAAAAAAACAGAGUUUGAAAAGGAAAAUCCAUUCUAAAGGUUAAAAAACAGCAAGAGAAAAAAAGGGUCUCGUCAUUAAGAAAUAAGAAAUGAAACUUCACUCCAAGGUUGUUAUUAUUUUUAAAAGUAAUAAUUACCUUCUUUUUCCCACAAAGAGGGAAUAGGAGGUGAUGAAGCUUGAGUCAUUGUCUGGGACUACUAAUAUUGAAUUCUACAGUUAAUUUGACAAAUAAAAUCAGAUUAGUAUAAAGAGGUCAAAAUCUCAUAUGAAGGAGGAAGGUUAAUAACAAAACAUGCUUAUUGUUCUAAUGCCUGUUAUGAAUGUCUCAGAUUAAUUGAAAUUUAAUUCUGUUUUGGUUUUGCCAUUGUUUGCACAGCAAUAAGAGAACAUCAGACACUUUACAAACGCUGACGGCUGACUUAGCUGGAAUACAAAUACACGACCUUUAUAUGAGGGAUGGAAGCUGAGCAUUUAAUCAUGUUCUCCGAUUGGUCCCAGGCUGUACCUUUUGCGAGGCUGAAUAGCAUUACAGUCACAAAAUGCACGCUUUGUGGAGUGCUGGCACCAGAGGAAGACAGGCGGAUUCAGUCCAACAAUAGCUUUCCUGUUCCUACAGGACAGCUCGUGUCUUUACUAGCAAAAUGCUGAAGUGCCAUCAAUUCCUUGCGUGUGUCUUUGCUCCCAUGACCUCCUCUGACGGCGUCUUUCAAAGAAUUUAUUACUACACCAUGAACCUUUAGGAAAGAACACCACUACAGAGGACACCAUAUAAACAACCACUGCAGAGACAUGCUGUCCAGAGAGGGCCUGCAGAUUACAGCUGAGAAUUCAGGAAGCAAUAUCCCAGGUUAGAAAGUGGACGAACAGGACUAGGUGGAGAGAGUAAGGCCACAGACUGGUCUAGACAUAGAAGAGUGGCCAUUAACGAGUUUGGAAUUUUAUUUAUUUAAGUAUUUAUUUAACACAAUCCACUGAAGUGCCACAUUUAGAUUAGAUGUUGGUGGAAACUUUUUGCUGAGAGGGCGGUGAGGCGCUGGCACAGCUGCCCAGAGAAGCUGUGGUGCCCCAUCCCUGGAGGCGCUCAAGGCCAGGUUGGAUGGGGCCCUGGGCAGCCUGAGGUGGUGGGGGGCAGCCCUGCCCAC
ensembl:lncRNA